GUCCUCGUGGAAGGUUCGUGUGUUAGAUGGGCGCCAGGGGCCGGCAGUGGGAAGCAGGGAGGGGUUUUUGGGGGCCUUUGGGAACAUGGAGUCCUAUCCUGUUCCGCCUGGGGCCUCGGUAGCGGCUUGCACGCCCCAAGAUGACGGCCGCUGCCCUAGGCUGGGCCGGCGGGCGCUUGCGCGUGUCCUGCUCCUCGUAGGCCCGGGACCGGCGGAUGGGUGUCGGGGUGACCAGGCCUGAGCUCCCUAUUUCUCCUCAGUGACAUCGUCUUUAAACCCUGCGUGGCAAUCCCUGACGCACCGCCGUGAUGCCCAGGGAAGACAGGGCGACCUGGAAGUCCAACUACUUCCUUAAGAUCAUCGUAAGUGCAGGCAACUAUUGGAUGAUUAUCCGAAAUGUUU
rnacentral:sRNA from 1 species